GCUCCCAUGUUUGCAGUGCACAAACCAACAGCACGCACAUUCAAACACGCUGGGAAAGCAAGCGGCACACACCCCUUUUCCAUUCCAGACACUUUUUGACUUGUUCAUCUCAGGACCAAGACGUCCCAACUGCACAUAGGCGGAGGACAGGAACAGGACAGGCACCCUUGAGACCAAGCAGCAGCACCACACGCAGCAAACAUGUCGGACUCCGAGACCGCCGCCGCCCCCGCCGACGUCCCAGUCCCCGCUGGUUGUGCCAGCAUCAAGGCUGACCUGGACAAAUGCGUGGCGGAGAACGGAGCCGAGGGCUGCAAAGGCCUGAUGGAGGCCUUCGCUGCUUGUGUGAAGAGUGCAGCCGAGGGGACGUCCUGAGGAGUCGCCCUCCGACCUCGAAUGUCCGCAGCACUGAGUCCUCCACCUUCCCAGCAUUCCCUUCUGCACAGCAGCAGUGUACUGAAUGAUGAUGAUGAUCAUUGUGUGUCAAGUGUUUAAAUGGGCUGAAUUUGGAAAGUGGUGGCAGUAACUACAGUUCCCCCCCCCCCAACCCCCUGACCCCCCCCUAUAGGUUUAUCUGGUGUCCCUCAGUCUUUCCACCUUUCCCUUUCUCCCUCUGCGGCUGAAAGGCAGCACAUCGACUUGUAGACUAUUCCAGAGCUGAGCUGUAAUGUAAAUUGUCGACUCGAGAUGAAUACUUAUAAAUGGAAAUAAAAGUAUCAAAUAAUUGGUAUAAAAAACUGA